GAUGAACGCUGGCGGCGUGCCUAAUACAUGCAAGUCGAGCGAACAGACGAGGAGCUUGCUCCUCUGACGUUAGCGGCGGACGGGUGAGUAACACGUGGAUAACCUACCUAUAAGACUGGGAUAACUUCGGGAAACCGGAGCUAAUACCGGAUAAUAUAUUGAACCGCAUGGUUCAAUAGUGAAAGACGGUUUUGCUGUCACUUAUAGAUGGAUCCGCGCCGCAUUAGCUAGUUGGUAAGGUAACGGCUUACCAAGGCAACGAUGCGUAGCCGACCUGAGAGGGUGAUAGGCCACACUGGAACUGAGACACCGUCCAGGCUCCUACGGGAGGCAGCAGUAGGGAAUCUUCCGCAAUGGGCGACAGCCUGACGGAGCAACCCCGCGUGAGUGAUGAAGGUCUUCGGUUCGUAAAACUCUGUUAUUAGGGAAGAACAAAUGUGUAAGUAACUAUGCACGUCUUGACGGUACCUAAUCAGAAAGCCACGGCUAACUACGUG
rnacentral:rRNA from 1 species